CCUACUCUCUCCUUGGCUUGGAAAAACAAAAUCCCACUGCGACUUUGACGUUUCGUUUAUUAACUUGGCAAUAAGUUUUCGAAUACAAGUGUUAAAAUUCGAAGACCCAUUUCCUCAAGCCUCCCCUUUUCCGUGGGUUUCGCCGUUCCGGCUUUAAAGUUGUCUCUUUGUCAAUGGAGAUGUAUUCGGCUGAAGUAAAUCAAUAUGGGCAUCUCAGUGGGGAUGAAUCUGUUCUAACAAGAACUUGCUAAAGUCAUAAAAGUGACCAGACACUAUCCUUCCGACUUGCUUGACACCUAGCACAUCUACUAGAUAGCUUCUUUUGAAGAUCAUAAGUUUGUUGACCUAAGAAUAUUUUGGCAGCGUUUUUUUUUUUUUUGGUGUGGACUUUGGAUUCCGGUUACAUUAUGUAGUUAUGUCUUAAUUGUGAUAAAUACAAUUGCUCUUUUGCAUAAGUCAGUCCCAUACCUGAAUACUAAAACACAUUGUUUAAGCAUGCAAAUCUCAUGACUUCACUUGUUGAGAUCCAUCUUGAACCACUUUUCUUUCCUUCGGUUGUAUGUCUUAUCUAAGAUAGGUGCUUUGUGCAUAUUUCAACAUGUCUUUCUGCUUUCAAAGUUCUUGUUUACAGCCUGUUCAAGUUAUUAAUGCAAGCAUGUAUAGAUUUUUGCUCAGACUCAUUGUACUUUGGAAGUCAGAACUUGAAAAGAGUUACUUCAAUUGAAGGCACCACAUCAAAACUUGUUGGCAUUAUUUUAAGUUGUGGGUCCACUAUCACUGGAAACUUAUCUUUAAUAAAUCUUGGAAGUCGAAAUGAUUCUGCAUAUCAGAUGCACCAGAAAGUUCUUACACCUGGUCAUCUGAGCUAUUUGUUUUACCUCUUUUUCUAAUCCCAGAUGUUACUCUAUUUUUGCAGUCACAUAGGUACUUGUGGGUGUGGAAUAGUUUCUUACUUGUAGCUUUCAAUUUUUCCAUUUCCUUGAUUUGGUGUUGUUUGUUUUUCACAGCCACCUUGGAAAAACAUGAUCUAGAGGACAGUCCUUUAGAAGAUAUUAAGAGAGCUCGGAAAAUUGUGAACCAAUCCUAACCAUCAGUUAUCACCGAGGAGAAGUUGUAUAAGCAUGCGCUUUCCUACUUGUGAACCAAAGAAUAAGAUAAUAACGGUGAAGAUGUCUUCUGCUGGCAAAUCUAUUGGUACUUGUGCCAUGUGCUUGUGUGUGAAGCGAACUCAGGUGGACACUGAUGAUCUAUCUAGACUUCCUCCAAAAAUCUCAAAAACUUAUUCAAAUAGCUGGGCUUCCGCAAAGGACAUGCUUUUUAAAGUUAUUGAGCCCUCCUCAUCUUUAAUUCCAAGAACUUGUUUGACCACAAUUCAAACACGUUCUCAACCAAAUAUUUAUCUGCACACGAUGGUCAGAUCGUUUCUGUACUAGGUUCUCCAAAGAUGUCUGGUCAGUCUGUCAGCUUGGAUCAACAGACUCAUGACAUAGAGAGCAGCUCUAUAGCUGUCUUUGAAAAGUCACAUGGGGAUUCAGGUUUAGACGUUGAAGAUGUUAAACCCAUUCCUAUGAUCUUGGAUCAAGCUCAGAAGUGUCUCCCCUGCGUCUAUGCUAGUAAGAGGGUAUGAUCUUGUUCAAAUUUCAAAAACCAUUGUGAUAAGAUGACUCAGGUAUUUCCCCUCUAACAUUGUUAUUUCUUAUGAAAUGCUGGGAGGUUAACCUUUUCUUUUACAGAUGGCUUACUUAGCUCUGGAAGAAGAAACGAAAUUGCAGAAUGCUUUGGCAGCUGAGGUAUAUCCAAGAAUCUUGAGUUUGAAAUUUUUUUUGAAAGCAAGAACAUGAAAGGUCAAUGUUGGAGCUGAAUACUCAAAAGGAGAAGCACAAAGCUGAAAUCAUCAAGUGUAAAACUGAAUCAGUCAAGUCACAUGUCACAAAUGGUAAGCCGCAAAAAAAAAAAAAAUGUGACGCUUUGAAAGCUGAGUUAGAGGAAUUUGUGAAAUGAGGAAAUCUGAAGCAAGAACGUGAAAGGGUAAUGUCCUUGGAGAAGGAGCUGGAAAGUCAAAAGGAGAAUUACGAGUUGACAUUUCUGAGUAUCAAUCCCAGUUAGAGAACUUCAAGAAGAGAGCUUUCGAGCAACCUAUUUGGAAGAUGGAUUUCCAAACCGAGAGGCUGCAGCUGUUUUGGCAUUCAAAACCUAUAGCAAGAACCAUAAGACCAUGGAAGCAGUUUUUACAAAGGCAUGUGAAGAUUUCGAGCAAUGCUGGAGGAAUAUUGUCCAGAACUAGAUUUUAUGUUGUUACUUGACGAGGAGGAUUGUGAU